AACGAACGCUGGCGGCAGGCUUAACACAUGCAAGUCGAGCGCCCCGCAAGGGGAGCGGCAGACGGGUGAGUAACGCGUGGGAACGUACCUUUUGGUUCGGAACAACUCCGGGAAACUGGAGCUAAUACCGGAUAAGCCCUAACGGGGAAAGAUUUAUCGCCGAAAGAUCGGCCCGCGUCUGAUUAGCUAGUUGGUGAGGUAACGGCUCACCAAGGCGACGAUCAGUAGCUGGCCUGAGAGGAUGAUCAGCCACACUGGGACUGAGACACGGCCCAGACUCCUACGGGAGGCAGCAGUGGGGAAUAUUGGACAAUGGGCGCAAGCCUGAUCCAGCCAUGCCGCGUGAGUGAUGAAGGCCUUAGGGUUGUAAAGCUCUUUUGUCCGGGAAGAUAAUGACUGUACCGGAAGAAUAAGCCCCGGCUAACUUCGUG
rnacentral:rRNA from 1 species